rnacentral:lncRNA from 1 species
GGGGAAUGUUGGCCUGGAAAUGAGAAUGGGAAUAACCUUUGAAAUGUAAAUGAGAAAUACCCAGUUUAAUUUAGAUGGAAGAAAAAGAAGAAAAGGGAAAAAAAGAUUCUCAAGGUAGAUCUGCAACAGCGCCAUUGCGAUCCUAGGGAACAUCACUGUCCCUUAGAUUUGCAGAAAGCUGUUUCAUCUACGUGGAAGGGACCAGAUGUUCUUCUCUCCUCCGCAAGGGGGCAUGCAUGUGUCUUUCCACAGGAUGCCGAGUCACCAGUCUGGAUUCCGGACCGCCUCAUCACAUCAUACAAUCCCAGGGCAGAAAAGCAGAAAGUCUCCCCUCAACAACCGACAGCGAAAGAUGAGAGCGGAGCGUGCCUCAUUCCUGAUGACGCCAGACAGCUCUGAGCAGCGCCUCACUUCUGCUUUCACCAGGCUUCAGCUGCAUGGUCGCUCAUCUACCACGCUGUUGCCAACUUGGGAUCAGCUUCAAGAACUGGUCUCUGCUGCAAGAGAUAGUGUGCUUCCUCUCCGCCUCCCAGUUACUCCCUCCAAUCUUCUCCUGCUAUGCUUUCACUUCUCUUCACCCAGUGCCCAUUCAACAUCACUUGGUCCCUGA